AUGGUUUACAACCUCCCUCAAAGGCUUCCAAUAUUCUUUACAUUAUUAUUGGAAAUGAUAUACAUGAUGUAGUGAUUGUUGGGAGCCCAACAGGGAGGCUGAAAAGCUU